rnacentral:rRNA from 1 species
UACGAAGGGGGCUAGCGUUGCUCGGAAUGACUGGGCGUAAAGGGCGCGUAGGCGGCUCAUACAGUCAGGCGUGAAAUUCCUGGGCUCAACCUGGGGACUGCGCUUGAGACGUGUGGGCUUGAGUGGGGAAGAGGGUCGUGGAAUUCCCAGUGUAGAGGUGAAAUUCGUAGAUAUUGGGAAGAACACCGGUGGCGAAAGCGGCGACCUGGUCCUUGACUGACGCUGAGGCGCGAAAGCGUGGGGAGCAAACAGG